GAUGAACGCUGGCGGCGUGCCUAAUACGUGCAAGUCGAGCGAACGGACGAGAAGCUUGCUUCUCUGAUGUUAGCGGCGGACGGGUGAGUAACACGUGGAUAACCUACCUAUAAGACUGGGAUAACUUCGGGAAACCGUAGCUAAUACCGGAUAAUAUUUUGAACCGCAUGGUUCAACAGUGAAAGGCGGUCUUGCUGUCACUUAUAGAUGGAUCCGCGCUGCAUUAGAUAGUUGGUAAGGUAACGGCUUACCAAGGCAACGAUGCAUAGCCGACCUGAGAGGGUGAUCGGCCACACUGGAACUGAGACACGGUCCAGACUCCUACGGGAGGCAGCAGUAGGGAAUCUUCCGCAAAGGGCGAAAGCCUGACGGAGCAACGCCGCGUGAGUGAUGAAGGUCUUCGGAUCGUAAAACUCUGUUAUUAGGGAAGAACAUAUGUGUAAGUAACUGUGCACAUCUUGACGGUACCUAAUCAGAAAGCCACGGCUAACUACGUG
rnacentral:rRNA from 1 species